UACGUAGGGUGCAAGCGUUAAUCGGAAUACUGGGCGUAAAGCGUGCGCAGGCGGUGAUGUAAGACAGAUGUGAAAUCCCCGGGCUUAACCUGGGAACUGCAUUUGUGACUGCAUCGCUGGAGUGCGGCAGAGGGGGAUGGAAUUCCGCGUGUAGCAGUGAAAUGCGUAGAUAUGUGGAGGAAUACCGAUGGCGAAGGCAGCCCCCUGGGAUAACACUGACGCUCAUGCACGAAGCGUGG
rnacentral:rRNA from 1 species